AGUGAACGCUGGCGGUAGGCCUAACACAUGCAAGUCGAACGGCAGCACAGUAAGCGCUUGCUCUUACGGGUGGCGAGUGGCGGACGGGUGAGGAAUACAUCGGAAUCUACUUUUUCGUGGGGGAUAACGUAGGGAAACUUACGCUAAUACCGCAUACGACCUACGGGUGAAAGCAGGGGAUCUUCGGACCUUGCGCGAUUGAAUGAGCCGAUGUCGGAUUAGCUAGUUGGCGAGGUAAAGGCCCACCAAGGCGACGAUCCGUAGCUGGUCUGAGAGGAUGAUCAGCCACACUGGAACUGAGACACGGUCCAGACUCCUACGGGAGGCAGCAGUGGGGAAUAUUGGACAAUGGGCGCAAGCCUGAUCCAGCCAUACCGCGUGGGUGAAGAAGGCCUUCGGGUUGUAAAGCCCUUUUGUUGGGAAAGAAAAGCAGCAGGUUAAUACCCCGCUGUUCUGACGGUACCCAAAGAAUAAGCACCGGCUAACUUCGUG
rnacentral:rRNA from 1 species